rnacentral:rRNA from 1 species
GGGUUUGAUUCUGGCUCAGAUUGAACGCUGGCGGAAUGCUUUACACAUGCAAGUCGAACGGCAGCACGGGGCAACCUGGUGGCGAGUGGCGAACGGGUGAGUAAUACAUCGGAACGUGCCCAAUCGUGGGGGAUAACGUAGCGAAAGUUACGCUAAUACCGCAUACGAUCUACGGAUGAAAGCGGGGGAUCGCAAGACCUCGCGCGAAUGGAGCGGCCGAUGUCAGAUUAGGUAGUUGGUGGGGUAAAGGCUCACCAAGCCAACGAUCUGUAGCUGGUCUGAGAGGACGACCAGCCACACUGGAACUGAGACACGGUCCAGACUCCUACGGGAGGCAGCAGUGGGGAAUUUUGGACAAUGGGCGCAAGCCUGAUCCAGCCAUUCCGCGUGCAGGAUGAAGGCCUUCGGGUUGUAAACUGCUUUUGUACGGAACGAAAAGGUCCUGGUUAAUACCUGGGGCUCAUGACGGUACCGUAAGAAUAAGCACCGGCUAACUACGUGCCAGCAGCCGCGGUAAUACGUAGGGUGCAAGCGUUAAUCGGAAUUACUGGGCGUAAAGCGUGCGCAGGCGGUCUUGUAAGACAGAGGUGAAAUCCC